rnacentral:rRNA from 1 species
CAGUGAGGCUUCCGGACCGUUCGGUACAGAUCGGCAACGAUCAGUGCUGGAUGGGAAGUUAUCCAAACUCGGUCAUUUAGAGGAAGUAAAAGUCGUAACAAGGUCUCCGUUGGUGAACCAGCGGAGGGAUCAUU